rnacentral:rRNA from 1 species
ACACAUGCAAGUCGAACGGAGAAUUUUAUUUCGGUAGAAUUCUUAGUGGCGAACGGGUGAGUAACGCGUAGGCAACCUACCCUUUAGACGGGGACAACAUUCCGAAAGGAGUGCUAAUACCGGAUGUGAUCAUCUUGCCGCAUGGCAGGAUGAAGAAAGAUGGCCUCUACAAGUAAGCUAUCGCUAAAGGAUGGGCCUGCGUCUGAUUAGCUAGUUGGUAGUGUAACGGACUACCAAGGCGAUGAUCAGUAGCCGGUCUGAGAGGAUGAACGGCCACAUUGGGACUGAGACACGGCCCAAACUCCUACGGGAGGCAGCAGUGGGGAAUCUUCCGCAAUGGACGAAAGUCUGACGGAGCAACGCCGCGUGAGUGAUGAAGGAUUUCGGUCUGUAAAGCUCUGUUGUUUAUGACGAACGUGCAGUGUGUGAACAAUGCAUUGCAAUGACGGUAGUAAACGAGGAAGCCACGGCUAACUACGUGCCAGCAGCCGCGGUAAUACGUAGGUGGCGAGCGUUGUCCGGAAUUAUUGGGCGUAAAGAGCAUGUAGGCGGCUUAAUAAGUCGAGCGUGAAAAUGCGGGGCUCAACCCCGUAUGGCGCUGGAAACUGUUAGGCUUGAGUGCAGGAGAGGAAAGGGGAAUUCCCAGUGUAGCGGUGAAAUGCGUAGAUAUUGGGAGGAACACCAGUGGCGAAGGCGCCUUUCUGGACUGUGUCUGACGCUGAGAUGCGAAAGCCAGGGUAGCGAACGGGAUUAGAUACCCCGGUAGUCCUGGCCGUAAACGAUGGGUACUAGGUGUAGGAGGUAUCGACCCCUUCUGUG